UACGUAGGGGGCAAGCGUUGUCCGGAUUUAUUGGGCGUAAAGGGCGCGUAGGCUGCGGGGCAAGUCGGGUGUGAAAUCUCAGAGCUCAACUCUGAAACUGCACUCGAUACUGCUUUGCUUGAGGACUGGAGAGGAGAUUGGAAUUCACGGUGUAGCAGUGAAAUGCGUAGAUAUCGUGAGGAAGACCAGUGGCGAAGGCGGAUCUCUGGACAGUUCCUGACGCUGAGGCGCGAAGGCCAGGGGAGCAAACGGG
rnacentral:rRNA from 1 species